UGGAUGAACAUUGUAUUACUGGCCAUGGAUGAACACAGUGGUACAGGCCGUGGAUGAACAGUGUUACAGGCAGUGGAUAAACAAGGUGUUUCAGGCCGUGGAUGAACACAGUGUUACAGGCAGUAGUUGAACACAUUGUUACAGGCCGUGGAUGAACACAGUGUUACAGGCAGUGGAUGAACACAGUGUUACAGGCAGUGGAUGAACACUGUUAAAGGCUGUGGAUGAACACAGUAUAACAGGCAGUGGAUGAACACAGUGUUACAGGCCAUGGAUGAACACAGUGGUACAGGCCGUGGAUGAACAGUGUUACAGGCAGUGGAUGAACAAGGUGUUUCAGGCUGUGGAUGAACACGGUGUUACAGGCAGGAGAUGAACACAGUGUUACAGGCCGUGGAUGAACACAGUGUUACAGGCAGUGGAUGAACACAGUGUUUCAGGCAGUGGAUGAACACAGUGUUUCAGGCAGUGGAUUAACACAGUAUUACAGGCAGUGGAUGACCACAAUGUUACGGGCAGUGGAUGAACACAGUGUUUCAGGCAGUGGAUUAACACAGUAUUACAGGCAGUGGAUGACCACAAUGUUACGAGCAGUGGAUGAACACAGUGUUUCAG
ensembl:lncRNA